rnacentral:rRNA from 1 species
CCUACGGGUGGCAGCAGUGGGGAAUAUUGCACAAUGGGGGAAACCCUGAUGCAGCGACGCCGCGUGAGUGAAGAAGUAUUUCGGUAUGUAAAGCUCUAUCAGCAGGGAAGAAAAUGACGGUACCUGAUUAAGAAGCCCCGGCUAACUACGUGCCAGCAGCCGCGGUAAUACGUAGGGGGCAAGCGUUAUCCGGAUUUACUGGGUGGAAAGGGUGCGUAGACGGCAGCAAAAGUCUGGAGUGAAAUGCCGGGGCUUAACCCCGGAACUGCUUUGGAAACCGUGCAGCUAGAGUGCAGGAGAGGUAAGUGGAAUUCCUAGUGUAGCGGUGAAAUGCGUAGAUAUUAGGAGGAACACCGAUUGCGAAGGCAUCUCACGAAUCCGCGAUUGACGCUGAUGCACGAAAGCGUGGGUAUCAAACAGGAUUAGAUACCCUUGUAGUC